UGAGGAAGAAAACGACACACUAAGAUGGUGUGAGAGUGCGAAGAAAAUAGCGAAGCACCGUGGAAAAGACGGUGCGGGGAAGGAGACGUGGUGGUGAUUCCUGGAAGGUUUCGCAGUAACGUUUAAGAGAAUCUUUUCGAGAGCCAACUAGGUGAGUGCCUCUCGUCGCAUAUAUCGCCGAAUGCACACAUAUGCACACAUAUGCACACAUAUGCACACAUAUGCACACAUAUGCUCCAUCCUCUCUCUCUCUCUCUCUAUUGUUUUUGUUAUGCUGACACCAGAGAGAUAGCAGUGUGGAUACGAAAUUCAUCGCCUCGCUGCAAAUCUGAAUUGUGAAAGACAAGCGUAGGUAAGCUACCACUACCACUACCGCUGCUGCUGCUGCUGCUACUACCACCACUACUACUACUACAACUAUCACUGCCGGUGGUGGUAGUUCUUGUCGUAGUAAGAGAUCGUGGUGGUAGUGGUAAUGGUGGUGCCAGUUGUGGCGGUAAUGUUGAAAGAAGUGGCAAUAAGCUGGGGUGGAAAGCGAUUCGAGAGGAAAAUACAAAUAUCUGCUGUGAAGUACUGUUUUGGUCACUAUGAUGGAAAAGUCUGACAAAAGAUAUACUUAGCUAUACCAGGUUGGAAAUUUAAACGGAAAUAUGCAAAAGAAAACGAAAAUGAAUCGGAAAAAAGAAAAAAAGACAUUUACCUUUCCUAAGGUGUAAAACCUCAUUAGCAAUUCAACGGUCUAUGUUUAUACAUGGACCUGGUUGUUACACAUGUAU